CCUACGGGAGACAGCAGUGGGGAAUAUUGCACAAUGGGGGAAACCCUGAUGCAGCGACGCCGCGUGAGCGAUGAAGUAUUUCGGUAUGUAAAGCUCUAUCAGCAGGGAAGAAAAUGACGGUACCUGACUAAGAAGCCCCGGCGAACUACGUGCCAGCAGCCGCGGUAAUACGUAGGGGGCAAGCGUUAGCCGGAUUUACUGGGUGGAAAGGGAGCGGAGACGGCUGUGCAAGCCAGAUGGGAAAGCCCGGGGCUCAACCCCGGGACUGCAUUUGGAACUGUGUGGCUGGAGUGUCGGAGAGGCAGGCGGACUUCCUUGUGUUGCGGUGAGUUGCGUAGAUAUUAGGAG
rnacentral:rRNA from 1 species